UACGGAAGGCAGCAGUGGGGAAUAUUGCACAAUGGGCGCAAGCCUGAUGCAGCCAUGCCGCGUGUAUGAAGAAGGCCUUCGGGUUGUAAAGUACUUUCAGUCGUGAGGAAGGUGUUAAGGUUAAUAACCUUAGCAAUUGACGUUAGCGACAGAAGAAGCACCGGCUAACUCCGUGCCAGCAGCCGCGGUAAUACGGAGGGUGCGAGCGUUAAUCGGAAUUACUGGGCGUAAAGGGCACGCAGGCGGUUAAUUAAGUUGGAUGUGAAAUCCCCGGGCUUAACCUGGGAAUGGCAUUCAAGACUGGUUAGCUAGAGUCUUGUAGAGGGGGUUAGAAUUCCAUGUGUAGCGGUGAAAUGCGUAGAGAUGUGGAGGAAUACCGGUGGCGAAGGCGGCCCCUGGGACAAAGACUGACGCUCAUGUGCGAAAGCGUGGGGAGCGAAACAGGAUUAGAUACC
rnacentral:rRNA from 1 species